UACGUAGGGGGCAAGCGUUGUCCGGAUUUAUUGGGCGUAAAGAGCGUGUAGGCGGCUAGGUAGGUCCGUUGUGAAAACUCGAGGCUCAACCUCGAGACGCCGGUGGAAACCAUCUAGCUAGAGUCCGGAAGAGGAGAGUGGAAUUCCAGGUGUAGCGGUGAAAUGCGUAGAUAUCUGGAGGAAUACCGGUGGCGAAGGCGGCAUCCUGGACCGGCAUUGACGCUGAGGAGCGAAAGCUAGGGGAGCAAACGGG
rnacentral:rRNA from 1 species